rnacentral:rRNA from 1 species
GACGAACGCUGGCGGCGUGCUUAACGCAUGCAAGUCGAACGGAAAGGCCCUGCUUUUGUGGGGUGCUCGAGUGGCGAACGGGUGAGUAACACGUGAGUAACCUGCCCUUGACUUUGGGAUAACUUCAGGAAACUGGGGCUAAUACCGGAUAGGAGCUCCUGCUGCAUGGUGGGGGUUGGAAAGUUUCGGCGGUUGGGGAUGGACUCGCGGCUUAUCAGCUUGUUGGUGGGGUAGUGGCUUACCAAGGCUUUGACGGGUAGCCGGCCUGAGAGGGUGACCGGCCACAGUGGGACUGGGAUACGGCCCAGACGCAUACGGGGGGCAGCGGUGGGGAACAUGGCAAAAUGGGCGGAGGCCUGAUGCAGGAACGCCGCGUGGGGGAUGACGGCCUUCGGGUUGGAAACCGCUUUCGCCUGUGACGAAGCGUGAGUGACGGUAAUGGGUAAAGAAGCACCGGCUAACUACGU